rnacentral:rRNA from 1 species
AGUAACACGUGGGCAACCUGCCCCAGACAUCGGGAUAACCAUUCGAAAGGAUGGCUAAUACCGGAUAUGACCACUUCGGGCAUCCGAUGGUGGUGGAAAGGAGUUCUGGUCUGGGAUGGGCCCGCGGCCUAUCAGCUAGUUGGUGGGGUAAUGGCCUACCAAGGCGACGACGGGUAGCCGGCCUGAGAGGCGACCGGCCACACUGGGACUGAGACACGGCCCAGACUCCUACGGGAGGCAGCAGUGGGGAAUAUUGCGCAAUGGGCGAAAGCCUGACGCAGCGACGCCGCGUGAGGGACGAAGGUCUUCGGAUUGUAAACCUCUUUCAGCAGGGACGAAGCGAAAGUGACUGUACCUGCAGAAGAAGCACCGGCUAACUACGUG